CCAGACUCCUACGGGAGGCAGCAGUGGGGGAUAUUGGACAAUGGGGGAAACCCUGAUCCAGCGACGCCGCGUGAGUGAAGAAGUAUUUCGGUAUGUAAAGCUCUGUCAGCAGGGAAGAAAGAAAUGACGGUACCUGACCAAGAAGCCCCGGCUAACUACGUGCCAGCAGCCGCGGUAAUACGUAGGGGGCAAGCGUUAUCCGGAAUUACUGGGUGUAAAGGGAGCGUAGACGGUGAUGCAAGUCUGGAGUGAAAGGCGGGGGCCCAACCCCCGGACUGCUCUGGAAACUGUACGGCUGGAGUGCAGGAGAGGUAAGUGGAAUUCCUAGUGUAGCGGUGAAAUGCGUAGAUAUUAGGAGGAACACCAGUGGCGAAGGCGGCUUACUGGACUGUAACUGACGUUGAGGCUCGAAAGCGUGGGGAGCAAACAGGAUUAGAUACCCCCGUA
rnacentral:rRNA from 1 species